rnacentral:rRNA from 1 species
UACGGGGGGGGGUAAGCGUUGUUCGGAAUUACUGGGCGUAAAGGGCUCGUAGGCGGCCAACUAAGUCAGACGUGAAAUCCCUCAGCUUAACUGGGGAACUGCGUCCGAUACUGGAUGGCUUGGAUUUGGGAGAGGGAUGCGGAAUUCCAGGUGUAGCGGUGAAAUGCGUAGAUAUCUGGAGGAACACCGGUGGCGAAAGCGGCUUACUGGGUCUUCUCUGACGCUGAGGCACGAAAGCUAGGGUAGCAAACGGG